rnacentral:rRNA from 1 species
CGGCGGUCAUAGCGUUGGGGAAACGCCCGGUUCCAUUCCGAACCCGGAAGCUAAGCCUAACUGCGCCGAUGGUACUGCACUCGGGAGGGUGUGGGAGAGUAGGACGCCGCCGAAAUU